GUAACUAUAACGGUCCUAAGGUAGCGAAAUUCCUUGUCGGGUAAGUUCCGACCUGCACGAAUGGCGUAAUGAUGGCCAGGCUGUCUCCACCCGAGACUCAGUGAAAUUGAACUCGCUGUGAAGAUGCAGUGUACCCGCGGCAAGACGGAAAGACCCCGUGAACCUUUACUAUAGCUUGACACUGAACAUUGAGCCUUGAUGUGUAGGAUAGGUGGGAGGCUUUGAAGCGUGGACGCCAGUCUGCGUGGAGCCGACCUUGAAAUACCACCCUUUAAUGUUUGAUGUUCUAACGUGGACCCGUAAUCCGGGUUGCGGACAGUGUCUGGUGGGUAGUUUGACUGGGGCGGUCUCCUCCUAAAGAGUAACGGAGGAGCACGAAGGUUGGCUAAUCCUGGUCGGACAUCAGGAGGUUAGUGCAAUGGCAUAAGCCAGCUUGACUGCGAGCGUGACGGCGCGAGCAGGUGCGAAAGCAGGUCAUAGUGAUCCGGUGGUUCUGAAUGGAAGGGCCAUCGCUCAACGGAUAAAAGGUACUCCGGGGAUAACAGGCUGAUACCGCCCAAGAGUUCAUAUCGACGGCGGUGUUUGGCACCUCGAUGUCGGCUCAUCACAUCCUGGGGCUGAAGUAGGUCCCAAGGGUAUGGCUGUUCGCCAUUUAAAGUGGUACGCGAGCUGGGUUUAGAACGUCGUGAGACAGUUCGGUCCCUAUCUGCCGUGGGCGCUGGAGAACUGAGGGGGGCUGCUCCUAGUACGAGAGGACCGGAGUGGACGCAUCACUGGUGUUCGGGUUGUCAUGCCAAUGGCACUGCCCGGUAGCUAAAUGCGGAAGAGAUAAGUGCUGAAAGCAUCUAAGCACGAAACUUGCCCCGGGAUGAGUUCUCCCUGAGACUUAGAGUCUCCUGAAGGAACGUUGAAGACGACGACGUUGAUAGGCCGGGUGUGUAAGCGCAGCGAUGCGUUGAGCUAACCGGUACUAAUGAACCGUGAGGCUUAACCUUACA
rnacentral:rRNA from 1 species